GACGAACGCUGGCGGCGUGCCUAAUACAUGCAAGUCGAACGCUGAAGGAGGAGCUUGCUCUUCUGGAUGAGUUGCGAACGGGUGAGUAACGCGUAGGUAACCUGCCUGGUAGCGGGGGAUAACUAUUGGAAACGAUAGCUAAUACCGCAUAAAAUUGAUUAUUGCAUGAUAGUCAAUUAAAAGGUGCAAUUGCAUCACUACCAGAUGGACCUGCGUUGUAUUAGCUAGUUGGUGAGGUAACGGCUCACCAAGGCAACGAUACAUAGCCGACCUGAGAGGGUGAUCGGCCACACUGGGACUGAGACACGGCCCAGACGCCUACGGGAGGCAGCAGUAGGGAAUCUUCGGCAAUGGACGGAAGUCUGACCGAGCAACGCCGCGUGAGUGAAGAAGGGUUUCGGAUCGUAAAGCUCGGUUGUAAGAGAAGAACGAGUGUGAGAGUGGAAAGUUCACACUGUGACGGUAUCUGACCAGAAAGGGACGGCUAACUACGUG
rnacentral:rRNA from 1 species